rnacentral:rRNA from 1 species
CACGGGGGGAGCAAGCGUUGUUCGGAAUCACUGGGCGUAAAGGGCGUGUAGGCGGCCAAGUAAGUGGGCUGUGAAAUGCCUCGGCUUACCCGAGGAUCUGCAUUCCAAACUGCUUGGCUUGAGUACGGGAGAGGAUGAGGGAAUUCCUGGUGUAGCGGUGAAAUGCGUAGAGAUCGGGAGGAAGGCCGGUGGCGAAGGCGGCGCUCUGGAACAUUUC